UAUAUUCGGUGAUCACCCUUACAAACAAC
rnacentral:sRNA from 1 species